rnacentral:rRNA from 1 species
UACGUAGGGUGCGAGCGUUGUCCGGAAUUAUUGGGCGUAAAGAGCUCGUAGGCGGUUUGUUGCGUCGGCUGUGAAAUCCCGAGGCUCAACCUCGGGUCUGCAGUCGAUACGAGCAAACUAGAGUGUUGCAGGGGAGACUGGAAUUCCUGGUGUAGCGGUGAAAUGCGCAGAUAUCAGGAGGAACACCAAUGGCGAAGGCAGCUCGCUGGGACGGUACUGACGCUGAGGAGCGAAAGCGUGGGGAGCGAACAGG